rnacentral:rRNA from 1 species
AGGGAAUCUUCCGCAAUGGACGAAAGUCUGACGGAGCAACGCCGCGUGAGUGAAGAAGGUUUUCGGAUUGUAAAGCUCUGUCAUCUGGGACGAUAAUGACGGUACCAGAUGAGGAAGCCACGGCUAACUACGUGCCAGCAGCCGCGGUAAUACGUAGGUGGCAAGCGUUGUCCGGAAUUAUUGGGCGUAAAGCGCGCGCAGGCGGCUGUUUAAGUCUGGUGUAUAAUCCUGGGGCUCAACCCCGGGUCGCACUGGAAACUGGGCAGCUUGAGUGCAGAAGAGGAGAGUGGAAUUCCACGUGUAGCGGUGAAAUGCGUAGAGAUGUGGAGGAACACCAGUGGCGAAGGCGACUCUCUGGGCUGUAACUGACGCUGAGGCGCGAAAGCGUGGGGAGCAAAC